CAUGCAGUCGGACGGUAGCACAGAGAGAGCUUGCUCCUUGGGUGACGAGUGGCGGACGGGUGAGUAAUGUCUGGGGAUCUGCCCGAUAGAGGGGGAUAACCACUGGAAACGGUGGCUAAUACCGCAUAACGUCGCAAGACCAAAGAGGGGGACCUUCGGGCCUCUCACUAUCGGAUGAACCCAGAUGGGAUUAGCUAGUAGGCGGGGUAAUGGCCCACCUAGGCGACGAUCCCUAGCUGGUCUGAGAGGAUGACCAGCCACACUGGAACUGAGACACGGUCCAGACUCCUACGGGAGGCAGCAGUGGGGAAUAUUGCACAAUGGGCGCAAGCCUGAUGCAGCCAUGCCGCGUGUAUGAAGAAGGCCUUCGGGUUGUAAAGUACUUUCAGCGGGGAGGAAGGCGGUGCGGUUAAUAACCGCGCCGAUUGACGUUACCCGCAGAAGAAGCACCGGCUAACUCCGUGCCAGCAGCCGCGGUAAUACGGAGGGUGCAAGCGUUAAUCGGAAUUACUGGGCGUAAAGCGCACGCAGGCGGUCUGUUAAGUCAGAUGUGAAAUCCCCGGGCUUAACCUGGGAACUGCAUUUGAAACUGGCAGGCUUGAGUCUCGUAGAGGGGGGUAGAAUUCCAGGUGUAGCGGUGAAAUGCGUAGAGAUCUGGAGGAAUACCGGUGGCGAAGGCGGCCCCCUGGACGAAGACUGACGCUCAGGUGCGAAAGCGUGGGGGAGCAAACAGGAUUAGAUACCCUGGUAGUCCACGCCGUAAACGAUGUCGACUUGGAGGUUGUGCCCUUGAGGCGUGGCUUCCGGAGCUAACGCGUUAAGUCGACCGCCUGGGGAGUACGGCCGCAAGGUUAAAACUCAAAUGAAUUGACGGGGGCCCGCACAAGCGGUGGAGCAUGUGGUUUAAUUCGAUGCAACGCGAAGAACCUUACCUACUCUUGACAUCCACGGAAUUCGGCAGAGAUGCCUUAGUGCCUUCGGGAACCGUGAGACAGGUGCUGCAUGGCUGUCGUCAGCUCGUGUUGUGAAAUGUUGGGUUAAGUCCCGCAACGAGCGCAACCCUUAUCCUUUGUUGCCAGCGAUUCGGUCGGGAACUCAAAGGAGACUGCCGGUGAUAAACCGGAGGAAGGUGGGGAUGACGUCAAGUCAUCAUGGCCCUUACGAGUAGGGCUACACACGUGCUACAAUGGCGCAUACAAAGAGAAGCGACCUCGCGAGAGCAAGCGGACCUCACAAAGUGCGUCGUAGUCCGGAUCGGAGUCUGCAACUCGACUCCGUGAAGUCGGAAUCGCUAGUAAUCGUGGAUCAGAAUGCCACGGUGAAUACGUUCCCGGGCCUUGUACACACCGCCCGUCACACCAUGGGAGUGGGUUGCAAAAGAAGUAGGUAGCUUA
rnacentral:rRNA from 2 species